rnacentral:tRNA from 1 species
CACCAGAUAGCUCAGUUGGUAGAGCAUCUGACUACCUAGUAAAGAUUCAGGGGGCCCGGGUUCGAAUCCCGGUCUGGUCG